GAUGAACGCUGACAGAAUGCUUAACACAUGCAAGUCUUUGGCGAAGCUGUGCUUGCACAGCCUAGCCAAGGCGGACGGGUGAGUAACGCGUAAGGAACUUGCCCUGCAGUCAGGGAUAACAGACGGAAACGACUGAUAAGACCUGGUAAAGUCAGGCGGACUCAUGUCCAGCCUGAUGAAAAGAGAUGCUGCAGGAGAGCCUUGCGUCCUAUUAGCUUGUUGGUGGGGUAACGGCCCACCAAGGCGAUGAUAGGUAGCCGGCCUGAGAGGGUGGACGGCCACAAGGGGACUGAGAUACGGCCCUUACUCCUACGGGAGGCAGCAGGGGGGAAUAGUGGACAAUGGGGGCAACCCUGAUCCAGCAAUUCUGUGUGCACGAUGAAGGUUUUCGGAUUGUAAAGUGCUUUCAGCAGGGAAGAAAAAAAUGACGGUACCUGCAGAAGAAGCGACGGCUAAAUACGUG
rnacentral:rRNA from 1 species